rnacentral:misc_RNA from 1 species
GUGAGUCAUCGAAUCUUUGAACGCAGAUUGCACUCUCCGGUUUUCCGGGAGAGUAUGCCUGUUUGAGGGUCAGCCUAAAAAAAAUCGACAUCGUUGCUGUUGUUUCAUGGUGACUUUCGUCGGAGAUUUGGGUUUAUCUUAAACCUUUCGGGUUUAAGUGACUUAAAAUUUUUUGUUACGAUUCCACGAACGUUUCUAAGAUUUUUCUCUUUACACGUUUGUGGUGUCGAAUGUCUUUAUUAGACGUGGCCGUUGCAUCGGAUCGCGUCCAUAAAUCUUUCGUUAACUGACCUCAUACAG